AAUUUUUAAGCGCUGAAUUCUUUCCGCUGAAGGCUGCGGAAGGAAGCGGGGGACCCACUUUCUUGGGGUGAAUCUCCUUCCACUCGGGGAAACCCUGUGGAAGGGGUAGGGUUACCUCUUCGACCCGAACCCGUCAGCUAACCUCGCAAGCGUUUGAAGAGGAGGUUG
rnacentral:sRNA from 1 species